GACGAACGCUGGCGGCGUGCUUAACACAUGCAAGUCGAACGGUGAAGCGCCUUCCUUUUUGGUGGGUGUGGAUGAGUGGCGAACGGGUGAGUAACACGUGAGUAACCUGCCCCCUUCUUCUGGAUAACCGCAUGAAAGUGUGGCUAAUACGGGAUAUUCUGGGUCUGUCGCAUGAUGGGUCUGGGAAAGAUAUUGUUUCGGUGGGGGAUGGGCUCGCGGCCUAUCAGCUUGUUGGUGGGGUGAUGGCCUACCAAGGCGGUGACGGGUAGCCGGCCUGAGAGGGUGGACGGUCACACUGGGGCUGAGACACGGCCCAGACUCCUACGGGAGGCAGCAGUGGGGAAUAUUGCACAAUGGGCGCAAGCCUGAUGCAGCGACGCCGCGUGAGGGAUGGAGGCCUGCGGGUUGUGAACCUCUUUCGCCAGUGAAGCAGGCCUGCCUCGUUUGUGGGUGGGUUGACGGUAGCUGGAUAAGAAGCGCCGGCUAACUACGCG
rnacentral:rRNA from 1 species